GACGAACGCUGGCGGCGUGCCUAAUACAUGCAAGUAGAACGCUGAAGAGAGGAGCUUACUCUUCUUGGAUGAGUUGCGAACGGGUGAGUAACGCGUAGGUAACCUGCCUUGUAGCGGGGGAUAACUAUCGGAAACGAUAGCUAAUACCGCAUAACAAUGGAUGACACAUGUCAUUUAUUUGAAAGGGGCAAUUGCUCCACUACAAGAUGGACCUGCGUUGUAUUAGCUAGUAGGUGAGGUAAUGGCUCACCUAGGCGACGAUACAUAGCCGACCUGAGAGGGUGAUCGGCCACACUGGGACUGAGACACGGCCCAGACUCCUACGGGAGGCAGCAGUAGGGAAUCUUCGGGAAUGGGGGCAACCCUGACCGAGCAACGCCGCGUGAGUGAAGAAGGUUUUCGGAUCGUAAAGCUCUGUUGUAAGUCAAGAACGAGUGUGAGAGUGGAAAGUUCACACUGUGACGGUAGCUUACCAGAAAGGGACGGCUAACUACGUG
rnacentral:rRNA from 1 species